rnacentral:rRNA from 1 species
UACGUAGGCAGCGAGCGUUGUUCGGAAUUACUGGGCGUAAAGAGUGUGUAGGCGGUGCUCUAAGUUCGGUGUGAAAUCUCCUGGCUCAACUGGGAGGGUGCGCCGGAAACUGGAGUGCUUGAGUGUGGGAGAGGAAAGCGGAAUUCCUGGUGUAGCGGUGAAAUGCGUAGAUAUCAGGAGGAACACCUGUGGUGUAGGCGGCUUUCUGGACCAUAGCUGACGCUGAGACACGAAAGCGUGGGUAGCAAACAGG